UACGGAGGGGGCUAGCGUUGUUCGGAAUUACUGGGCGUAAAGCGCGCGUAGGCGGACCUGCAAGUCGGGGGUGAAAGCCCGAGGCUCAACCUCGGAACUGCCUUCGAUACUGCGGGUCUCGAGUCCGGGAGAGGUGAGUGGAAUUCCUAGUGUAGAGGUGAAAUUCGUAGAUAUCAGGAAGAACACCAACGGCGAAGGCAGCUCGCUGGGACGGUACUGACGCUGAGACGCGAAAGCGUGGGGAGCGAACAGG
rnacentral:rRNA from 1 species